AGCAUGCACGAUAGUCAUUCGGUUGAUUUUUUAAAUACCUGAUGUUCAAAUAUUCUGUGCGUUUGAGCGGCAAUAUUUCAAAACUAUCCUAAAUCAUCUCCGUAUAAACUAAGCUAAUGUAAUAAUAUUAUUGGCUAUAAUCUUAUUCGGCCAUCGUAACCACAACAGAAAAUGCAACACGCGUCGAGUAGUGCUAAUAUAUUAACAGUUUCGUGGUAAUAUUACAUAAUAUUACGUUGCAUUUCAGUUGGUUUAGUAUUUCGUUACAAAGUGUGUGUACUGUGGCAGGGCUGAGAUACAUUACCGUCGAAAUCGACCGUUCUGCUCGCCAUAAACACCGG